AGCCGCUGCAAAGAAGCAGGGACAAUAAUUUCUGACUGAAUAAUGAGUCCCCAUCACUUCUAUACUGAACAGAACACCUGUGACAAUGAAACAGAGAUAAAUUAACAGGGAAACGUCAAUUGACAGACUGAUAGACUGAUGGGAUUCAGUAAUAACUUUGUGUUUGUUUUCUACUAAAGGAUAACACGGACCACAGUGACGUUAACUCACCGCUGAUUGGAGCCCCAAAACAGCUCGCGACACCCACCGCUGACGCCACAACCAGCAUUUCUCCUUUAGCCGCUCUCUGGAUGAACGGAGCCAUGAGCUGUACAAAUGAAUAUCUAGCUGACCUGCAGAGAAUGGACAGAUGCUGUGGGCGAAGCUGGUGGACAGAGCACAAAGACAGGCUGGGUAAAGCGUCCAGCAGAGGAACUGCAGCAGGUGGUGACCCUUCAGACAUCUGUACAGCCAUUGAAGAAAGAAACUCAAACUGGUUUGGAACAACUCGAUGGUGAGUAAAAGCUAAAAUAAAGUGAUAUGGCAACGCUGUAUGACAACCACUCACUGUGCUAUUAAUCCACAAACUCUUAUUAAAAGUACAAUUAUAGCAGAGCUAAAAUACUAAAAUAAUAAUCAUUGUUUCACGUCCACACAUUUGUCAGUGAGUUGCCAUGUAAGA